GCUGGCGGGUGCUACCAUGCAGUCGAACGAUGAACCCGAAGCUUGCUUUGGGGGAUUAGUGGCGAACGGGUGAGUAACACGUGAGCAACCUGCCCCUCACUCUGGGAUAAGCGCUGGAAACGGCGUCUAAUACUGGAUACGAGACGCGACCGCAUGGUCAGUGUCUGGAAAGAUUUUUUGGUGGGGGAUGGGCUCGCGGCCUAUCAGCUUGUUGGUGAGGUAAUGGCUCACCAAGGCGUCGACGGGUAGCCGGCCUGAGAGGGUGACCGGCCACACUGGGACUGAGACACGGCCCAGACUCCUACGGGAGGCAGCAGUGGGGAAUAUUGCACAAUGGGCGGAAGCCUGAUGCAGCAACGCCGCGUGAGGGAUGACGGCCUUCGGGUUGUAAACCUCUUUUAGCAGGGAAGAAGCGAAAGUGACGGUACCUGCAGAAAAAGCACCGGCUAACUACGUGCCAGAGCGCCGGGGAAAUA
rnacentral:rRNA from 1 species